rnacentral:rRNA from 1 species
GACGAACGCUGGCGGCGUGCUUAACACAUGCAAGUCGAACGGAAAGGCCCUGCUUUUGUGGGGUGCUCGAGUGGCGAACGGGUGAGUAACACGUGAGUAACCUGCCAUUGCCUUUGGGAUAACUUCAGGAAACUGGGGCUAAUACCGGAUAGGAGCUCCUGCUGCAUGGUGGGGGUUGGAAAGUUUCGGCGGUUGGGGAUGGACUCGCGGCUUAUCAGCUUGUUGGUGGGGUAGUGGCUUACCAAGGCUUUGACGGGUAGCCGGCCUGAGAGGGUGACCGGCUACGUCAGAAUGGGAAUGCGACACGGACUCGAAUGGGAGGCGGCGGAGCAGAAGAGUACACUAGACACGGGGGCCUGAUGCGGCAACGCCACGUCGGGUAUGAGAGCCAGCGGUUAGGGUUCUACAGCCGCCUGACACGAGAUGAUAAUGACAGUAAUGGGAGAAGAAGCACCGGCUAACUCCGUG